UACGAAGGGGGCUAGCGUUGCUCGGAAUCACUGGGCGUAAAGCGCACGUAGGCGGAUCUUUAAGUCAGGGGUGAAAUCCUGGAGCUCAACUCCAGAACUGCCUUUGAUACUGGGGAUCUCGAGUCCGGAAGAGGUGAGUGGAACUCCGAGUGUAGAGGUGAAAUUCGUAGAUAUUCGGAGGAACACCAGUGGCGAAGGCGGCUCACUGGCUCGGUACUGACGCUGAGGUGCGAAAGCGUGGGGAGCAAACAGG
rnacentral:rRNA from 1 species